UGGCGGCGAUAGCGCGGUGGUCCCACCUGACCCCAUGCCGAACUCAGAAGUGAAACGCCGUAGCGCCGAUGGUAGUGUGGGGUCUCCCCAUGUGAGAGUAGGGAACUGCCAGGC
rnacentral:rRNA from 1 species